rnacentral:rRNA from 1 species
UGGGGAAUUUUGCGCAAUGGGGGAAACCCUGACGCAGCAACGCCGCGUGGAGGAUGAAGUCUCUUGGGACGUAAACUCCUUUCGAUAGGGAAGAUAAUGACGGUACCUAUAGAAGAAGCCCCGGCUAACUUCGUGCCAGCAGCCGCGGUAAUACGAGGGGGGCAAGCGUUGUUCGGAAUUAUUGGGCGUAAAGGGCGCGUAGGCGGUUUGGCAAGUUUGGUGUGAAAUCUUCGGGCUCAACUCGAAGUCUGCAUCGAAAACUGCCGGGCUUGAGUAUGGGAGAGGUGAGUGGAAUUUCCGGUGUAGCGGUGAAAUGCGUAGAUAUCGGAAGGAACACCUGUGGCGAAAGCGGCUCACUGGACCAUUACUGACGCUGAGGCGCGAAAGCUAGGGGAGCAAACAGGAUUAGAUACCCCCGUAGUCC